AUAGACAUACAAGAAGCUCCUUUCUAUGAGAGAGUCUUAGUUGGUAUUGGAAAACUAUUCUCUGAAAUGAUUAAACACAGGGAGAUGGCUGAGAUGGGAUUGAAGUCAGGAAAGAUUCAAGACCUAGCUACCCUUAAAGCUGUUGCUGAGCACAUCCAGUCCGAAACGCAUGGAAACAACCCCCGGAGGGUCUAUAAAAAGAAAGAGGAGGAUGUUUCCUUGAUACUACAAGGUCAGAAAGGCAAUCAGAAUAUGCCUAUUCAGAGGAGAAAUUACUCCCCUUUUAAAGCUCAGCCUUCAAACCCUCCAUUACCUAAAGGUGGAGAAGUCAAAC
rnacentral:lncRNA from 1 species